CGCCCUGACUCCCUGGACACCGUUCCCCUUGGAGCCUCGGAGCCCCCUGGUGUCCCCUGGGUGAUGGUCCUGGACAAGAGGGCUGGGAAGGGACGGGCACCAAGGGGAGGAUUCUGUCCCAGAUGUCCCCAGGCCAGGGGUCCCCAUGGGCUCUGCCCUGACGUCUUACUCCUGCACCCAGCAGCUCCCACCACAGACUGCCCCAGUUGCUGGUUAGACCCCACUUGCGGUUGUGUGUUCCAGAAGCCUCCGGGCGCCGUGCGGCAGGAUGAGGAGCUGCCCCCUGGAGGAUCACGCAGGCCUCUGGGCAGCAUUCAGCAGGGUUGGCUGCGGCACCCGCUGACCACAGGGCCCACCUUUCCAGUCCUGGCCGGAGGGAAGCAUCUCAUCCAUGUUGCAGGCGCACGGGUUAGGGUGCCGCCUGCCUCCCUGACUCUGACCUCCCCAAGAGAGGAAAACAAAAGAAAAAAAGAUAGAAAAGACCAGGAAAUGGAAAUAAGACAAAGAAGAAUGAAAUUUAAAAAUCCAAACAAACCCAAACACGCUAUUUCAAAACGGAAGUCCAAGAAGAGUCUUGUGGUGAGAAAGACCGAAUUCCCAGCCAGGAAAACGCCCCAUGCUUGCCCCUCGGAGGCAGGUGCUCCCCACGGCAGAGUCUAUCUAGGUGUUUAUUAAGGUGUCUCACCACGUAUCGCCCGGAUUCGCCAGAGAUGCAGAGCCGGAGGAUACGUUCCUGUUUAAGUUGAUACAUAGUUAUAUAGGUGAAGAGCUUUACGACGAGGAAGCGGCUCACGCGGCCGUGAGGGACCCAGGCAGGAGCUGCUGCUGCUGCCCCAGGUGCGAGUCCUUCCUCCUCAGGGAGGCUCAGCUCCCCGCUGCAGCCAGGCGGGCCCAGGCAGGCCUCCUUGUCCUACAGCACAGACGGCCAAGUGCUGGUCAUGGCCACUGCAUCUACACCACCCCUUUCUCAGCAGCAACUCCGUGAGUGCUCGAUGGGAAACUGCGGACAGCAGCCUUGCCAAGCGGACGCCCAGGGCUGACCACCGCAGCCCCUCCAGCCACCUUCCCCAUCAGGGCAGCCUCCUGCUGGCUUUGGCACUGCAGGCAGCACACCAGCGAGGGGUGGGGCUGUGUGCCACGAAGCGUCAUCCGUGGACGUGCCACGAAGUGUUAUUCUUCUUUUGACUUUUUCUGAUGGUUUAAAACUGUAAGAACACGCAGCUCACAGUCUGCGCGGAAGCAGGCGUGUGGCUCCUGCCUCACUGUGGGAGGAAAGAUGUUCUCAGAAGAAACGGCCGGGUUUGCGGAGGGGUUUGUGGAGGGCCGGGCAGUCUGAAUGCAGCCCAGCUGGCCUUGGUGGAGGUGGGGCUGGCACAGGGGGGUGGGGGCAGUUCUUCCUGAUGCAAAUCCUAACGCCUUCAACACUGACCUUCCAAAGAAACAGCUGCUGGACACCGCCUGACAGCAACAAGAGCUCCACUUCUGAGGCGCGCGACUCUCGAGGGCUUUGUUGUUUAUUUGGCACCCGAGGCCUAGGCUCACAGGAUCUCGGGUGUACGGGACCCCCCCAGCCCUUCCCACUGCUCUGCGAUUCUGCCUCCUUUCCGGAAAGGUCAGUUUGGGGUUCCAUUCUGGGACGGGCCAGGCCGCCACCUGGCCUCAUUAACCAGGGAGGCCACUGGGACCUCCUCUGAAACGCUGGGGCCAUGGCCAAAGCCUUGCCUCCCGCCAGGAGCAUUCGGCCCUCUUAGUAAUGGAUGUGGGCUUCCUCCCUCUGAGGGGACGUCAUGGUGGACACGAGAUGUGGGGCGCCCGUGGGUGACCGCCUGCUCCUGCCACAGUCCCACCUUGGGGCCUGAGCUGCGGCUCCUGCCUCCGUAGGGAAGAAACGAUGGGGGGUGGGGGUGGGAUGGGGGUGGGGGUGGGCCUGCCCCUACCCAGAGAGACUGGGCCGUGUUGCCAGCAAGGCCUCAGCCAGGGGACCACGUUUGUCUGCAUCUUGUGGCUGUUUGUGGGAGAACAGGAAACAGUCCCAGAGAUGACGCUGCCUCAUGCAGGUUAACAGAGUUGGAGGUCAGGCCGAUGCCUGAGGCUCCGGAUGGUGAUGGGUGCCUUCCCUCGCCGGGAUGAGCCCCCAGCCCCGUCUUCCCUCGCCAGGGGUGAGCCCCUCCCCAGCCCCGAGUUUGGAGGGGCCGUGGCUGCCAGGGACUCGCGUGAGGAGCUUGCUGUAAAUACUGAGCUCUGGAGCAACAAUGGCCUCACGCCACUGGCAUCUGGGGCAGGACCUGCCUCUUUUUGGAACAAUUUCGAGAUCUUUGUGUUUGUUCGUUUCCAGCCAUUUGGUGGAGACUCUGAGAGCCUGAACUUAGAAGCCCGCUGAGAGGGGAAAUGGCGGCCUCCGGGGGGUGGGCAGCCUGGCCGUGGAGCGCGCGGGACUCAGGGCCACCGUCCUCCCGAGACAGCGGCAGCAGUCGCCACUCACCGAGCGGAAUUAAAAACGGCUCUCUGGUUGCCACGGCAACCAGCCGUCUCCCCUCCAGCGUCAGUUUGAAUUUGUGCAGACCAUUCCUAGCCAAGAUUCAAGCCAACAGAUUCGUGCUUACCCUGAGGUGAAGCCUCGUUUGAGAACCAAAUAAUAAAAUUAACAAACCUAAAA
rnacentral:antisense_RNA from 1 species